CCUACGGGUGGCAGCAGUGAGGAAUAUUGGUCAAUGGACGAGAGUCUGAACCAGCCAAGUAGCGUGAAGGAUGACUGCCCUAUGGGUUGUAAACUUCUUUUAUAUGGGAAUAAAAUGUUCCACGUGUGGGUUUUUGUAUGUACCAUAUGAAUAAGGAUCGGCUAACUCCGUGCCAGCAGCCGCGGUAAUACGGAGGAUCCGAGCGUUAUCCGGAUUUAUUGGGUUUAAAGGGAGCGUAGGUGGAUUGUUAAGUCAGUUGUGAAAGUUUGCGGCUCAAUCGUAAAAUUGCAGUUGAAACUGGCAGUCUUGAGUACAGUAGAGGUGUGCGGAAUUCGUGGUGUAGCGGUGAAAUGCUUAGAUAUCACGAAGAACUCCGAUUGCGAAGGCAGCUCACUGGACUGCAACUGACACUGAGGCACGAAAGUGUGGGUAUCAAACAGGAUUAGAUACCCCUGUAGUC
rnacentral:rRNA from 1 species